UACAGAGGGUGCGAGCGUUAAUCGGAAUUACUGGGCGUAAAGCGCGCGUAGGCGGCUUUGCAAGUCGAGUGUGAAAUCCCCAGGCUUAACCUGGGAACUGCAUUCGAGACUGCAUAGCUAGAGUAUGGGAGAGGGAAGUGGAAUUUCAGGUGUAGCGGUGAAAUGCGUAGAUAUCUGAAGGAACAUCAGUGGCGAAAGCGACUUGCUGGACCAAUACUGACGCUCAUGUGCGAAAGCGUGGGGAGCAAACAGG
rnacentral:rRNA from 1 species